AUUGAACGCUGGCGGCAGGCUUAACACAUGCAAGUCGAGCGGAGCGAGGGUGCUUGCACCUUAGCUUAGCGGCGGACGGGUGAGUAAUGCUUAGGAAUCUGCCUAUUAGUGGGGGACAACAUUCCGAAAGGAAUGCUAAUACCGCAUACGCCCUACGGGGGAAAGCAGGGGAUCUUCGGACCUUGCGCUAAUAGAUGAGCCUAAGUCGGAUUAGCGAGUUGGUGGGGUAAAGGCCUACCAAGGCGACGAUCUGUAGCGGGUCUGAGAGGAUGAUCCGCCACACUGGGACUGAGACACGGCCCAGACCCCUACGGGAGGCAGCAGUGGGGAAUAUUGGACAAUGGGCGGAAGCCUGAUCCAGCCAUGCCGCGUGUGUGAAGAAGGCCUUUUGGUUGUAAAGCACUUUAAGCGAGGAGGAGGCUACUUAGAUUAAUACUCUGGGAUAGUGGACGUUACUCGCAGAAUAAGCACCGGCUAACUCUGUGCCAGCCGCCGCAGUAA
rnacentral:rRNA from 1 species